rnacentral:rRNA from 2 species
UACAGAGGGGGCAAGCGUUGUUCGGAAUUACUGGGCGUAAAGGGCGCGUAGGCGGCCGACUAAGUCAGACGUGAAAUCCCAUGGCUCAACCAUGGAACUGCGUCUGAUACUGGACGGCUUGAGUUCGGGAGAGGGAAGUGGAAUUCCAGGUGUAGCGGUGAAAUGCGUAGAUAUCUGGAGGAACACCGGUGGCGAAGGCGGCUUCCUGGACCGACACUGACGCUGAGGCGCGAAAGCCAGGGGAGCAAACGGG